rnacentral:rRNA from 1 species
CCUACUGGAGGCAGCAGUGAGGAAUAUUGGUCAAUGGCCGGAAGGCUGAACCAGCCAAGUCGCGUGAGGGAAUAAGGCCCUAUGGGUCGUCAACCUCUUUUGUCAGGGAGCAAAGGCGUCCACGAGUGGACGAAAGGAGAGUACCUGAAGACAAAGCCUCGGCUAACUCCGUGCCAGCAGCCGCGGUAAUACGGAGGAUGCGAGCGUUAUCCGGAUUGCUUGGGUUUAAGGGGUGCGUAGGCGGAGUGACAAGUCAGCGGUAAAAUUUCGGGUCUCAACCCCGUCGUGCCGUUGAAACUGACACCCUUGAGUGAGUGAGAAGUAAGCGGAAUGCGUGGUGUCGCGGUGAAAUGCAUAGAUAUCACGCAGAACGCCGAUUGCGAAGGCAGCUUACCGGCGCUCAACUGACGCUGAGGCACGAAAGUGCGGGUAUCGAACAGGAUUAGAUACCCCGGUAGUC